rnacentral:rRNA from 1 species
GUGAACGCUGGCGGUAGGCCUAACACAUGCAAGUCGAACGGCAGCACAGUAAGAGCUUGCUCUUACGGGUGGCGAGUGGCGGACGGGUGAGGAAUACAUCGGAAUCUACUUUUUCGUGGGGGAUAACGUAGGGAAACUUACGCUAAUACCGCAUACGACCUACGGGUGAAAGCAGGGGAUCUUCGGACCUUGCGCGAUUGAAUGAGCCGAUGUCGGAUUAGCUAGUUGGCGGGGUAAAGGCCCACCAAGGCGACGAUCCGUAGCUGGUCUGAGAGGAUGAUCAGCCACACUGGAACUGAGACACGGUCCAGACUCCUACGGGAGGCAGCAGUGGGGAAUAGUGGACAAUGGGCGCAAGCCUGAUCCAGCCAUACCGCGUGGGUGAAGAAGGCCUUCGGGUUGUAAAGCCCUUUUGUUGGGAAAGAAAAGCAGCAGGUUAAUACCCCGCUGUUCUGACGGUACCCAAAGAAUAAGCACCGGCUAACUUCGUG